rnacentral:rRNA from 1 species
UACGGAGGAUGCAAGCGUUAUCCGGAAUGAUUGGGCGUAAAGCGUCCGCAGGUGGCAAUGUAAGUCUGCUGUCAAAGCGUCUGGCUCAACCAGAUAAAGGCAGUGGAAACUACAUAGCUAGAGUACGGUAGGGGUAGAGGGAAUUCCCGGUGUAGCGGUGGAAUGCGUAGAGAUCGGGAAGAACAUCGGUGGCGAAGGCGGCCUGCUGGGCUGUAGCUGACGCUGAGGCGCGACAGCGUGGGGAGCAAACAGG